AUGGAUACUCAAUUUAAAGUGAGUAAACAGAAUUCCAUACUCGAUCUCAUAGAUCCCUAUAGAAUUCUGUGGAAAGCCGUAUUCGAUGAAAGUCGUAUGUACGGCUUGGAGGGAGAUCUUUCCUAUCUUUCGAGAUCCACCCUACAAUAUGGGGUCAAAAAGCCAAAAAAAUAA
rnacentral:rRNA from 1 species